CUUUUGGAGAGGGACAACCACUGGAAACGGUGGCUAAUACCUCAUAUGCUGAGAAGUGAAAUGAUGAAUAAUCGCCAAAGAGAUGAGCUUGCGGCUGAUUAGCUUGUUGGUGAGGUAAAGGCUCACCAAGGCCAUGAUCAGUAGCUGGUCUGAGAGGAUGAGCAGCCACACUGGGACUGAGGCACGGCCCAGACUCCUACGGGAGGCAGCAGUGAGGAAUUUUCCGCAAUGGGCGAAAGCCUGACGGAGCAAUACCGCGUGAAGGAUGACGGCCUAUGGGUUGUAAACUUCUUUUCUCAGAAAAGAAUAUCUGACGGUAUCUGAGGAAUAAGCAUCGGCUAACUCUGUGCCAGCAGCCGCGGUAAGACAGAGGAUGCAAGCGUUAUCCGGAAUGAUUGGGCGUAAAGCGUCUGUAGGUGGUUUAUCAAGUCUUGUGUCAAAUCCUAGGGCUUAACCCUGGUAAGGCAGAAGAAACUGAUAGACUUGAGUUCGGUAGGGGCAGAGGGAAUUCCCGGUGGAGCGGUGAAAUGCGUAGAGAUCGGGAGGAACACCAAAGGCGAAGGCACUCUGCUGGGCCUUGACUGACACUGAGAGACGAAAGCGAGGGGAGCG
rnacentral:rRNA from 1 species